GGUGCGGUCGGACACUUGUCAGCGUGCUGACAGGUCCCUGUGGCAGGGGCGCGCCAUAUAUCAACCGAUGCCGGUACGGCAUAGAUGGAG
rnacentral:sRNA from 1 species